UUCACGUUAGGGGGACAAGAUAUGCUCUGCAAGGUAGGCCCGCACGACAUUAAGAGGAGUCCGAUGUAACCUUAGCUAGGAAUUCAUCGGUUACGUUAUGGGUUUGUGCUCGAGGUUAGUCCACCCGAUUACACUCCUUAAAAUCAACUUAGAUAACUAUAUGUUAAACCAUAAUAUGCAAUGCUAUGCUUAUGAUAUAUGCACAUGAUAUGAUAUGAUAUGAUACGACCUAAGUAUAAGUGACAGUGAUCUUAGUUAUGCACGAUCGUUUAGGUAUGCAUGAGUUCACACACGUAUAAUCAACCGAAUGGUUGUGUUGUAGACACGUGGUGACCAUAGGUUUCCUCGAGGUUACCUCUAGCCUAGGAUUAGGUAGAACUCACUGAGACAUUAUGUCUCAUCCCUUCCUUGCAUGUUUGUUCAGGUUCGCAGGUGGCCCGUGGCAAAGGUAAGAAGAAGGCUACAUAUUGAUCGUGCUUGUUGGAUUUAGUACUUAUGUCCUGUUCUUGACGUUAUGUGUUUAUGUAAUAGUUGUAAUGGAUCUCGUUG
rnacentral:lncRNA from 1 species